rnacentral:rRNA from 1 species
GCAGUCGAGCGAACUGAUUAGAAGCUUGCUUCUAUGACGUUAGCGGCGGACGGGUGAGUAACACGUGGGCAACCUGCCUGUAAGACUGGGAUAACUUCGGGAAACCGAAGCUAAUACCGGAUAGGAUCUUCUCCUUCAUGGGAGAUGAUUGAAAGAUGGUUUCGGCUAUCACUUACAGAUGGGCCCGCGGUGCAUUAGCUAGUUGGUGAGGUAACGGCUCACCAAGGCAACGAUGCAUAGCCGACCUGAGAGGGUGAUCGGCCACACUGGGACUGAGACACGGCCCAGACUCCUACGGGAGGCAGCAGUAGGGAAUCUUCCGCAAUGGACGAAAGUCUGACGGAGCAACGCCGCGUGAGUGAUGAAGGCUUUCGGGUCGUAAAACUCUGUUGUUAGGGAAGAACAAGUACGAGAGUAACUGCUCGUACCUUGACGGUACCUAACCAGAAAGCCACGGCUAACUACGUGCCAGCAGCCGCGGUAAUACGUAUGUGGCAAGCGUUAUCCGGAAUUAUUGGGCGUAAAGCGCGCGCAGGCGG